CCAGCACCGAGUCCACCAGCUCCGCACCCUCCGUGUAGUGGCCCUUGGCCCAGUUGUUCCCGGCACCCGUCUGUCCUGCAAAGCAGCAAGAUCCAAAGAGGAUAUCAGUGACCUGCUUUCUCCAAUCAAUAUUUUUUUCAGUGAAAGAGACUAGAGCAAAGGAACAGGAACCAGGCUGUGACAGGUAUCAUCAGGACAGAACCCAGCACCACCUGCCCAGGGAUUGUGGCCAGAUCCUCCCACAUCAAUCAUUAAUCAAGAAAAUGACCCACUGGCAGGGUGGUGGUCCAUGCCUCUAAUCUCCGCACUCGAAAGACAACAGUAGGCAUGUUUCUGUGAGUUCGAGGCCAGCUUGGCCUACAGACAGAAACCCACCAUGGAGGUCAGCAUGUAUAAUCCUGGCACCCAAGAGUUCGAGGCAGAAGGCUCAGUUCAAAGUCAUCCUCAGCUAAGGAGUUUGAAACCAGCCCUGGCGACAAGAGAAAAGAACCAAGCAUGGAAGCUUUGCAGGAGGCAAGAUUGCAGUGCUGCGGUAAAUCUCCAACCCAAAUAUGCCCUGGCAAUAAAAACACAAUUCAAUAUGAAUACAA